rnacentral:siRNA from 1 species
UAAGUACAUAUUCACCCAGCCU